CGGGGUGUAGCUUAGCUUGGUAGAGCGCCUGGUUUGGGACCAGGAGGUCGCAGGUUCGAAUCCUGUCGCCCCGACCA
rnacentral:tRNA from 1 species